AACAUGUUCAUCACUUUACGUAAAACAUUCAUGCGGUUCUAUGAGAUUCAACUCCAUAGAACCCACAGAAAGUCUAUCACUCUCUCUUGCAAAACUCCACAAAGAGAGUUUCUCCCGGACAAUCUGGUAACAAAAAUUUGCUCUGUAGUUGAAUCUCCAUGGAAACAUCGUGGUCGAAACUCACGAAUGUUAUGGCCACACACAGCACUUGCAGGUUUCACAUAGACGAACGAGCUAGAUUAGGAGUGUGUGAGGCUGAUUUUUGAAGAGGAAACUUGCAGGCAAGAGCAUAUUGUGCAAUAUGAAUACUCCUCCUGAUCAUGUUUCAGCUGACCGAAAUUAAAUUUAAUGUCAAGUCGAUGUGAGGAAUUGAUACAGUAGUGCCCACAUCAGAAGCAAAUGGUGCACGUAUCAGGAGGCCCAGAGCGGCCAGUCAGUCCGGCUUGCAACUCCAAAUCGGGUGAGGGAAGAAAGUGCAUCUGUAAGGUAUGCACCUGCGGCUUCCACAAAUGCCCCCAGAAGCACACAUCCGUCUUCACCAAAUUCGGCGACAAGACAAUUUCAGAAUAUUGCGCCAAGUACCCACAAUGGCCAG